rnacentral:rRNA from 1 species
GUCCAGACUCCUACGGGAGGCAGCAGUGGGGAAUAUUGCACAAUGGGGGAAACCCUGAUGCAGCGACGCCGCGUGAGUGAAGAAGUAUUUCGGUAUGUAAAGCUCUAUCAGCAGGGAAGAAAAUGACGGUACCUGACUAAGAAGCCCCGGCUAACUACGUGCCAGCAGCCGCGGUAAUACGUAGGGGGCAAGCGUUAUCCGGAUUUACUGGGUGUAAAGGGAGCGUAGACGGCAUGGCAAGUCAGAUGUGAAAGCCCGGGGCUCAACCCCGGGACUGCAUUUGAAACUGUCAGGCUGGAGUGCAGGAGAGGUAAGUGGAAUUCCUAGUGUAGCGGUGAAAUGCGUAGAUAUUAGGAGGAACACCAGUGGCGAAGGCGGCUUACUGGACGAUGACUGACGCUGAGGCUCGAAGGCGUGGGGAGCAAACAGGAUUAGAUACCCCAGUACU